GCAAAGAUAAAAAGACUCCUGAUGGACACCAAUGCUUCCAUUGAAAGCCUUUAUCAGAAAAUUGAUGAAGUUUGGAUAGCCCAGAAAGAGCAAAGGAAGAAGCUUUAUCACGACUAUUCUCAGCGGUUCCUAACUUUGUAUCAAGAGUGCAAUGUGAAUGUGCAGAAAGUCAAGAAAGAAGAAGAAAUACUAACUGUUGGUAUCAAGCUUA